CGGGUGUUUCUCUGCUCCUUCACGCCUUGUGGGAAGGAGCCUUGCGGACGUAAGUCAGCUGAGGUCGCGAGGUUUACCUUCGUGUGCCUCCAGUCCUCACAACCUGCCCGAGACGGGGCGAAGCGCACAGAGAGGAUGUUCCAUGGAUAGAUAGAAACCGUGUGGGACUCGCUCUCUGUGGGCGGACGGGGACUUCCACUUUUUUUCACACGAAUAGAGUCGGCGCAAGUCGGUGUUCAGUGAACGCCACGCAUGAACUGGCGCUUCAUCGUUCAAGCGCAUUUCCUCGGAGGUGCCGUCGCCGGUAAAAAUGCUGUGCAAGAGGCACCUCGCAGAGCAGCGCAUGGAAAUUCGAGUUGUGUUUUCUUUGGAGUGUUGUGGUUCACAGUUAGAGCGCUACGAAAUUCCUAUGUUUCACUCCAAGUUUUCGAGCGAUUUAGUACUCGACAACGCAAACAGAGGAGACACCUGUCGCGGCAGUGUUGCCACUUGGAAGAUUCGUAGGUUUCAGCGGAAGCAUCUGCCUGGUCCAUCGCGCAUGUUAACGUCAAAAUGGUUUCAAUGUAGCUUCACUAAACAGUGAGGAUGCGGUCGCUGCUAGCACCCGUGCUGCUGACGGUCUGUUUCCUGGCAAUGAUCGCACAGUCUAUACCUCGGUGCGGGUUUUGGGUGCAGUUAGGAGCCACCUAGCGGUCCGGUGAAGUUACGACCAUAGACUUCAGACCGCUUUGUUGACAGUAUUCUAAAGGUUUUUGCAAGGAAAGUGUAUGCUGAGUUCUUACUGGUGUGGGUACCGGCAUUCAUAGCACGUAUCUCGAUACCUGAAGUGUGUGCAGGGCACGAGCUAAAAUUUGGGGUUCCAGAGCAGCCGCCGUAGCGCCGGAUGAACGAUCCAGAGUUGGACGAAUCAACCCACACGCGUAGCAUAUGAGACCUGAUUUUAGAGAGUGGCGUCGUUGGGGUGUGAGCCGCAGAGCGGAGCAGGUUUGUAAUAUUCAUCGUAGAAGAUGACUGUCGCUACACCCGUGCAAACGGUGAGUUAGGGGUAGGGAGGAGUGACGGUUCGCUGGUCAUAAGAGCGUUUUGAGAGGAAGUCAUCUCGACUGAAGUACAGAAUCCGACCUAGCGCAUCUUUUAUGCGUGGUACAGAGGUGGCAGGCGCCGCUUGCCUGAUGUACUUCUCCGCUUCAGGUGGAGAGGCACAUCCGGUUCCUUCGAGGUUACAGGUUGUUUCCUGCAUGUAUUUCGUAUCAUACUUUGUGAACGAUAUAGACUCCUUAUUGAUGAAGCGCAGCGAAGACAGGAGCAUCGUAAGGCUGCUAGCCGGUCAAUUGGUGCCCCCGUCAGCUCCACGAUGUUUUAAAGGGGUUUCAAAGUGGUAGAGCCAGCGCCGUCAACUAAUACUGCUUCCUGAAAGGAUGACAACCCAAUGUGGAUCUCUCGGCAUCAUCGAGUACCAAUACAAAGGCAAUUUAUUCGAGCAACACUGGCGUGUUUAGCUCUUGAUGUGCCAUUGUAGACUGGUUGGUAGCUGCGCUAUGCCGUGGAAGAUGAGUCAGCGAAGAAAAAGACCGUAGAUCCAGGUCAAUUCACAAAGCACUCUGACUAUUUCUUGGACACUAACUCGCUGUUGGGCAAACAGUUCCAGAUUCAAGUUAUUGAGCUCGGGAUGCCCUUUUCAAUUUACCCUGUUGGGUAGACAGUUCCAGAUUCAAGUUAUUGAGCACGGGAUGCCCUUUACGAUUUACCGCCUUAACGGGGAGCUUUAACCUCCCUGUUCGAAUAUCCUCACGACAACGGAGGAUGUGUGACGUUGAAAGGAAGCAUUGUAUUCUUGAGUAGUCCGGUGAAAAUCAGCACGGGAAUUGGCAUGUUCCGCUCUUAAAACCUUCUAAAUUUUGACCACACGGUUGAAAUUGAUUUUCCAUCACUCCCGGUGCCUUGUACGUACUCGAAUAUGUUUCUUGUCUCAGAGGCAGCACAGUUUCUUGCGGCUGUCUUCGGAACGUAUAGGGUGAGCGUUGUGUCGACUGCACUUUCUGUGGCCAGAAUCCCCAUCAGUUGUUCUGAGCGUAGGAUCCCGAGCUCUUUUGUGAUGCACAACGCUGCCACAGUGUCGCUUCUUCAAACUGUGACGCCUCAACUUAAAGGGUCAAGUUGGCUAUGUGGCGCUGCUGUACGAAUCCGUUACUGGAGUCAGUGUGUAUAGCGAGCCCACGGUGCCCUACUUACAUCUUUUUAGGAACUCUUGCCGGGAACCACGCAUCAGUGCACGCCGUAUAAUACGUGAAGAAGCGUGCUGGAUAUCCAAAUAUGACGUUCUCGCUCACCAUUCGCCACGCACACGACCGACAACUCGAUUUCUGCGCGGUCAGAUGCUUCCCAAGGUGUUGUACCUCUUGUGGUCCUAUUGCAAUUUUGAGCCGUCACUGUCAUUUUACGCGACGCUGCGUUAAUGCAGUUUCCUGUUAUUUCCCUCCAAAUAAAGGAGACGGAGUGCUGAUUCGCU
rnacentral:lncRNA from 1 species